AGUGAACGCUGGCGGCGUGCCUAAUACAUGCAAGUCGAACGCGAAAGUCCUUCGGGAUGAGUAAAGUGGCGCACGGGUGAGUAAUACAUGGGAACAUGCCCUUGGAUGGGGAAUAACGUUUGGAAACGAACGCUAAUACCGCAUAAUCUCGCGAGAGUAAAGGUGGCGCCGCAAGGGCUACCGUCCAAGGAUUGGCCCAUGUCCCAUUAACUAGUUGGCGGGGUAAUGGCCCACCAAGGCGACGAUGGGUAACUGGUCUGAGAGGAUGAUCAGUCACACUGGAACUGAGACACGGUCCAGACUCCUACGGGAGGCAGCAGUAGGGAAUAUUGCACAAUGGGGGAAACCCUGAUGCAGCAACGCCGCGUGAGUGAAGAAGGCCCUUGGGUUGUAAAGCUCUUUAGCGUGGGAAGAAGGUAGAUAUGGUGAACAAUCAUGUUUGCUGACGGUACCACGAGAAUAAGCACCGGCUAAUUUCGUGCCAGCCGCCGCGGUAA
rnacentral:rRNA from 1 species